GACGAACGCUGGCGGCGUGCUUAACACAUGCAAGUCGAACGAAGAGCGAUGGAAGCUUGCUUCUAUCAAUCUUAGUGGCGAACGGGUGAGUAACGCGUAAUCAACCUGCCCUUCAGAGGGGGACAACAGUUGGAACCACUUCCUAUUCCGCCUUCCAUCCUACCCUCGCAUCCAGGGUUGGUGAAAGGUUGCCUCUAUUUUUAAGCUUUCACUUGAGGAGGGGGAUGCGUCUGAUUAGCUAGUUGGGGGGGUAACGGGCCACCAAGGCGAUGAUCAGUAGCCGGUCUGAGAGGAUGAACGGCCACAUUGGGACUGAGACACGGCCCAGACUCCUACGGGAGGCAGCAGUGGGGAAUCUUCCGCAAUGGACGAAAGUCUGACGGAGCAACGCCGCGUGAGUGAUGACGGCCUUCGGGUUGUAAAGCUCUGUUAAUCGGGACGAAAGGCCUUCUUGCGAAUAGUUAGAAGGAUUGACGGUACCGGAAUAGAAAGCCACGGCUAACUACGUG
rnacentral:rRNA from 1 species